rnacentral:sRNA from 2 species
AGAACCCAUCUGCCGAGUCCCCUCGCCACAGCGCGACGGGGAGCGGGGGAACCAAAUGCCGCGGCACCCAUCCUUGCCGCGGCGCCUGGGGCGAAUCGGGGCCAUCCGGCCUCGUAACGGCGCCGGCCGAUGCCGGGGUCCGCGAGCCCGUCAGCUAACCCCGUAGGCAGGCAGAAAGCGAGUGA